ACGGAAGGCAGCAGUGGGGAAUAUUGCACAAUGGGGGAAACCCUGAUGCAGCGGCGCCGCGUGAGCGAAGAAGUAUCUCGGUAUGUAAAGCUCUAUCAGCAGGGAGGAAGAUGACGGUACCUGACUAAGAAGCACCGGCUAAAUACGUGCCAGCAGCCGCGGUAAUACGUAUGGUGCAAGCGUUAUCCGGAUUUACUGGGUGUAAAGGGUGCGUAGGCGGCAGAGCAAGUCAGAUGUGAAAGACCGGGGCUCAACCCCGGGGCUGCAUUUGAAACUGUUUUGCUGGAGUCCGGGAGAGGCAGGCGGAAUUCCUAGUGUAGCGGUGAAAUGCGUAGAUAUUAGGAGGAACACCAGUGGCGAAGGCGGCUUACUGGACAGUAACUGACGUUGAGGCUCGAAAGCGUGGGGAGCAAACAGGAUUAGAUACCCUGGUA
rnacentral:rRNA from 1 species